GGCUGGGCGCGGUGGCUCACGCCUGUAAUCCCAGCACUUUGGGAGGCCGAGGCGGGCGGAUCACGAGAUCAAGAGAUCGAGACCACCCUGGCCAACAUGGUGAAACCCCGUCUCUACU
rnacentral:misc_RNA from 1 species